AUAUAUAUAUAUAAGGGUUUCAGUGGUGACCCUUAGAUGGCAAUAAGAGAAAGUAAUGGACACAAGGUAAUCUUUCUUUUCUGAUUUAACUCCGGUAAGUAAGUAAGCUUCCUUUUGUAUUUCUUUUUUUCUUGAUGUUUCUAAACAAGUUAUUGUAAUCUUUUUACUAUCAUCUCAUACGACCACCAGUUGUUCGAUGAAAUUCCCCAACGAGUAAAAUUUAUACGUUAUUAAAUUUGUUUUGUGUUUUUCUUCAACAUGUUAGGAAAUGGAUUCGUAGUCAAUAAUAAGAUAUAAAUUGAAGUUGUAAUGAGCAUUAUGAUCCUAUAAUGUGCUCAAGACAUCACUGUUGGUUUUGUGAAUGAAUCUUUUGCAAACAGUGUUCCAAGGGAAAGAAGUUUACUACCUACAAAGUUCCUUAAAGGAAACCCUAACGGGUCUAUGAUGUGUGAUGUGUACGGCUUGAUGGUUCAACCGUGCUUUUGUCAUAUUUGUGUUUGGUCGAAAUGCAUAUUUAUCCAUGGUAGUAGGAGCGAGUGUUGUUGGUGGGCCUGCUGGAGCUGAUUUCAGGGCUGGUGAUGAUACAUACAAUUACAGUAAAGGCAUAAUGGCGGUGGUUCGUUGAUUCAUUCAGCUGCAAAUCCGAGUCGAUUUCAUGUUGGCAAACUAUUCAUAUUAGGGCUUCGGUGGUGGCGAUUAGUUAUGAGACAUGCCGCACCAUGAUGAGUCUUCACUGAAUAUGCAGUUAUACGAAAAAGGUUUAGAUUUGUUCGAUGAUAACCCAACAACCUCAGCUCUUUUGCACCGGUAUUUACUAAAGAAUACAGCUGCUCCUAUGAUAGACAUGCUUUUAUCAAAUUUGUAACAUAAACAAAUCAUUGAAUCUAAAUUUAUUAUUUUAUAGCCCACAUGACUUAAUUUAAGGUAACUUGCAUGAUUUUGUGAUCCUUUCCUUAAAUCAGGAUGUGACCAAUAAGUUGAAAAAUGGUAUUGAUGUUCAAGACUUCGAUACUAUUGAACCCAUUACACUUAGCUCAUGGGACGAUACUAUUGAACCCAUUACACUUUGCUCAUGGGAUCGAAUGGCUCUGGUAAAAAAUUUGAGGGAGCGUUAUCUGUAAAGGGUAAUGCGGUUGUUGAAGCUUUGGAAUGGAAGCGUGUUGAAGCAUAUAUGACAGGACUAAGAGCAUUUGCGGAUGAGUGUGGGUUAACUGUGAAAAAGCUUGACGAGAAAUUGGAAAGAACUCUUCUCCAUUCGUAUCGCAAGGAGUUUUCCAUCAAAUGGGUCAGAAUGGAGUUAUGUGGAUAUGGGAAUGAAGAUGCUGGUAAGGGGAGUAUUAAAUUGAAUUAUUGAGCUCCAUUAAAGGUGAAUUAUCUUGGUUGGAAGGCUGUUGAGGGUCGGUUGGCUGCCAAAAUGGAGUUGGGCUGCAGUGGGGUUUCUGCAAAUUGUUUGAUUUGCUGCAGGUGUGGGCUGGAUAGGGAAGACACAAGUCAUAUCUUUAUUAAAUGCUUGGUGGCGAGAUGUUUUGGGUGGCUGGCUGGUUAGCGUCGGGUUGAAGGAGCCAUGCAGACAAAGGAGUUGCUUAUCCUGGAUGGCAUCAAGAUUAAAAUAAGUGAUGGUAGCAGUUGGGCAACAUGUGGCGGGAAAAACAUAGUUGACCGGUCGAAAGGUUGAAGGGCUUAUGAAGUGACAACCCAACAAGAAGCUGCUGCAGGCAAAGCAGUGGAACAAGAUUACGUAGCAAAGCGUUCAUAAACAAUUUGUCAGACCCGUAAACCUUCCCUUUGUACUUUCUCAUUCGAGAACAGAGGAACCUGACCGUUGCACGCCUGCACAACCAUUCCGCCAGUCGUCGCCGCACCAAAACCGUUGCAGAGAUCAACUUUGGUGCUAUAGUUAUGGCUUUCAAGCAUGACAUGAGUUCAAGCCAAUCCGCUCAAGCAUGACUUGAAUUUAAGUCGGUCAGCUAUUGUAACAUAGGAUUUAGUACACUAUUUGCUUACCAAUUAUCUCAUUGUAACACAUGUAGUCUACUGUUAACGAAAAAACAAACCCCCUGCGAAGCGCGGGCAUUAUUUACUAUUAUCUACAAAUGUGUGAUGGUUGGUUUUUUUAA